rnacentral:misc_RNA from 1 species
CACAAAGAGGCCGGCCAUCGUUCCCGGCUCUCACACACCAGAUCCUUCACUCGCACACACGCGCAAGCGCUGACACAUAGCAUGCUUGCGAAGCGCCUUUCCGCACCUGCACUGCGGCGCGCGCAGAGCGCGUCGUCGCCGUCGCGGUGCGUGGUAGCUGCUCCUGCUGCGGCGUGCGCCCCUCUGUCGUGGUUGCGCAGGCACUGCAGCAGCGCCGCGGUGCAAGCAGGCUCCUCUGCUCGGGCAGCGCCGGUGUCGGCCGUCAAUGUCGAGGAGUUCACCCUCAAUGAAGAGGUGGCGAAGCAAGACCUGGCCUACAUGGCCAAGUGGAACGCGCUGUCGGAGGAGAUCGAGGCCGCUCGCGCAUCUGGCGAUCACACGAAGCUGCUUGAGCAUGUCCAGGUCGGCCUGCAGAUGCUGAAGGAGAUCGGUGCCACGAACGCGCCAAUCCAGUGCGAGAGUCUGCUCUGCAUGGAGGCCUCUCAGGCGCACUACAAAAUGGGGCAAUACGACGAAGCCCUCCGGUGCGCCGAGAAGGCGCGCGAGUCUCUCCUGCGCGACUGCAAGGCUGAGCUGCAGGACAAGGCGCAGAUUGCUGAGAUAGAGGUUUUCAUGGGGUUCGUGCUGUGCAAGCAGGGCGGCCACGGCGCGGCGGUCGAGGCACAGGAGCUACUGCAGAAAGUGCUGCGCUGGAUCGACGUAGAUGCCAAGUCUGCCAUGCCGAUGCAGGCGGUGGCGGCGGUGAACCUGCGCCGCUCCGUCCUUACUGGUCUCGGCCUCAGCACGACGGUGCAGGCCACAACCCUCGCCAGCAAAGGCGAGACGGCGGAGGCAAAGGUGCUGUACGCCAAAGGACUGGACACGUUGAUCGAGGCGCUGAACCAGCACAUUGAUGAGAACGACUUUGAGCUGGUGAAGAUGACGCUCGAGGCGAUCCUGGCUUCCUUUGAGGGCCUCGAUGAUGUGUCGCAGGCAGUGGCAACGUGCCGCAAAUACAUCAGCUGGUGCAGGCGCCACGACGACGCGAGCGGCGUGGCGGACGGCGAGGCGAUGCUCACGGCGCUGUGCGCUCGUCAGAGGAUUGAGAACCCGCUGGAGACGGAGAAGGCAAAGGAGGCCGAGGAGGCAGAGAAGUAGGAGUGUCCCCAAACAAAUCUGCAGUCGAGCCCGCCUCGUGAUGGCGCAGUGGCUCGCUGCUGCGCGCUCGUGCGCCUCACCUCAGGCGUGUGUCGGCGUCGUUGCCGUGUUGCCGCCGCUCCCUCCGCCACCCUCCUCUUUCGUCUCAGACACGUUUCCUGUGAGGCUGUGGCGGUGAGCAGAGGAGUGUGCGGAGAGGAAGUGAAUGGAGGGGGGCGCAUGGCCCUCUUUUCGUCCUCCUCUACUUUGUUCGAUUCCGUUGUUGCUCUCACAUGCCGUAGGACCUUCCUCCUUCCCCCAUCAUCUUCCUGCUUCCUCUGCCUUCAUGACUGUUGGCCCCCUUGAUGGAGUGGUGUAUGCGUACGCGUGUGUGUGGGGGGGGGGAGGGGGGUGCGUGCGGUGGAGCCGUCCAUUGCCCACCCGGCGUUUUGUACCCAAAUCUUUAAGUUGUUCUCUGUUAAUGUCGCGAAGGUGACGCACCGACGUGUGGUGCCAGGCAACAC